CAUGCCCAAGUGGCCGGCGAUCUGACGGCACACCCCCGUGAAGUAGUGCGUCAGGUCCACCAAGGAGAGCACCUGAAGAGUUGAUAGUUGUUGGCGUUAGAACAACUUUAACAGGGCUCCCUCCGUUUUGACGAAUUCUGAAGUACUGACCGUGGCGAUCCAAAGGACGACGUACUCGUCGACGAAGCUGUCGAAGAGCUGGUUGAGGAAGAGGAGGCCCGGGCCGAUGAAGGCCGUGUCUGGCAGGUGAAGUUCGCUCUUGGUUAUGUGCGCCACCUGCUUGGAGCAAAAACUUUGUCGACGUUCCACACGGCGCAGGAGUGUCGAGAGCAACCCACCACAAGCUUGUUGGAGAGCUUGGCGAUGACCAUGCCGAAGGCGAGCAAGUAGAAGCAGGGGUGGUGCUCAAACAGCUGACUAGACGACUUCUUGAAGAUGAUGAAGGCCAGCGUGAGGAUGAGGCCGAUGUGCAAGCCGGGACUCAAACCUUUACCCGCACCGCCGUUGAGAAUGACGUGGAAGUAGUUGUGGCAGGAGUAGAGGGCCCCGCCGAUGAUGCCCAUGAUGGGGAAGAUGUAGAGUUGCAGUCCAAUGAGGGGCAGCUUAAAAAACAAGACACAGAUUGAAGAGCCGCAAGUGGACAACCGCCAUGCUGCUGAAGGAGCCGGUUCAAGUUACCGUGGUUUGCCAAAGGCUCACCCCACCAAAGGCUGACAUCAGGUACAUGACGAUGAUGGCAAACUGCACCUCGGUGACAUCCACCCUGCCCAGGAGACAAAGCGGCUGAGGAGGAUGAGCGCAAGGGGAGGGUGGACUCACUCACAUGCCAAAGCGAACAGUCCCCGAAACGUAGGUCUGCCAGUGGGCGCAGAAGCACAUGAACAUCCCGAUGAAGCCGCAGAAGAAUAUCCAGUGCGGGUAUCGGCCGAUGCCGCAGGAGAUGCACGUGCCCACGGCGACAAACACUGCAGCAAGAUAACGCAAGACCUCAGCAACGACACCGCGGGGAGCCUCGAGGCUGGAUCAAGGAGCACCUGUGGAGACGGCGUCGCAGCCGUGGUCAAAAUGCUCGUCGAGGGCCGAUUCCACGUUGGUCCUGCGGGCCUGCUUGCCGUCGAUGGCGUCCAGAGACUGGUACGUGAAGAGACCCAGAGCACUCGGGAUGAAAGCCCAUGCUGGAGCCUGAAGGUCGCCUCGACUCACCUCCUCCGUGGCCGUGGGGCAAAAAAACACGAGCAGGAGCGUGGAGGCGAUGUUGACCAACAGGCCCGCCAUACUGAGCGCGUUGGGGGCCACCCACAUGGGGAUUUGCCGGACCAGCCAGUUCCAGUAGAUCUGACACGGCGGCUCCAGCAAAGAGCGACCCGAGGGACUGUACUUGUACACCUCCAGCUGCUUGAGCUGCGCGCUUGACAGCGGCUCCGAACACACAAAGUAGGCCAUCGUUUCUCCUUAAAAAUGAAAAAUCUUUGAAGCAACACAAUAAAAGCUACUGAGCCUGCAUCCAGGCCUUCCGUAGGUGAGAGAGAAGAGGUGUCAACAUGUUUUGCACCGAAAGCUUGACAAGUCUCUGCUUGUCUUCUAUGACAACCUUCGUCUCCAUCGUUUACAUGUCAAUCAGGUGCAGGGGCACGCCGCAUUGCAUACAUUGCUGGAUGAUGAGCCCUCCUAUAGAUCAGGGAGACUUGGCAAGCAGCAUUGACGACAGGAAUGCUUUUCAAGUGCCAUUAUCAUAGCGCCGCGCUCAGCCCAUGUUGCGCAAUGUGCCCAUCACUCUCUUGCACGAGCACAUGACAAGAGGAAUGCAUGAAAAAUAGUUUCUUUAUUACAAACUCCUACACACAAAUUCUUGUUAGUAAAAAUUUGCCAUCCAGUUAUAUUAGUGAGCAGUGAAAAAUGGCGGUUGUACAUUU